UCCAGGCCUGGCUGGAGACUGUAUGUGUUCUCUUUGAGAAUGAAGAUGGGCACUUUAGGGUGAUGUCACUGGAGAGGGAGGGUCCAUGAGUAGUUAGGACAGAGGCUUUUGUUGCUUUAGUCCAGAGCAGGACAAGAUCAGUCCUGAUGGAGGUGGCUCAGGGUGGUUGAUCUUUCAAGACUUCUUCUGUCUGUAUGACCCACAAGGGUUCAAAGACCUAUCUCUGCUCCAUCUUGUGGUCCCUCAGCAGGAGUGAUUUGGAGUGUGGUAGGGAUGUUUCUAGAUGCAGAAGUUCAGAAGAUGGCAAAUACUCCAGGACAGUGUGUGGGGAGCCUCUGUGGGUCAGAUGAUGGAUGCUUUGACAAAGCUGGUGGCAAACUCCAUAAUGUCAGCAAAGUGGAAGAUACCAGCUCCUCCUUUCCAAGCAUACCAGUACCAGGUGGUUUCUGUUCUCCUCAGGAGAGUUGAGAAGAAGCCAGGAGCUUGGCUUUCUGCUUGUGAUGGUUAAUGCUGCUGUAAAAAUCACAUUCUUGGUCACUUGGGAAUUGUGAUGCAGUAGUGUCUCCAAAAUAAUAAAUGGCUUUGAAACUCGGAAUGAACAA